rnacentral:rRNA from 1 species
AUUGAACGCUGGCGGCGUGCCUAACACAUGCAAGUCGAGCGGCAGCGCGGGAGCAAUCCUGGCGGCGAGCGGCGGACGGGUGAGUAACGCUUGGGAAUCUGCCUAUUAGUGGGGGACAACCCGGGGAAACUCGGGCUAAUACCGCAUACGCACUACGGUGGAAAGCCGGGGACCGCAAGGCCUGGCGCUAACAGAUGAGCCCAAGUCGGAUUAGCUAGUUGGUAGGGUAACGGCCUACCAAGGCGACGAUCCGUAACUGGUCUGAGAGGACGACCAGUCACACCGGAACUGAGACACGGUCCGGACUCCUACGGGAGGCAGCAGUGGGGAAUAUUGGACAAUGGGGGAAACCCUGAUCCAGCGACGCCGCGUGGGUGAAGAAGGCCUGCGGGUUGUAAAGCCC